AGAGUUUGAUCCUGGCUCAGGAUGAACGCUAGCGGCAGGCCUAAUACAUGCAAGUCGAACGGGGUGUUGCAGCAAUGCAACAUUCAGUGGCGCACGGGUGCGUAACGCGUAUGCAACCUACCUUAAACUGGGGGAUAGCCUUCCGAAAGGGAGAUUAAUACCGCAUAAGAUCACGAGAGGGCAUCUGAUUGUGAUUAAAGAUUUAUUGGUUUAAGAUGGGCAUGCGUGCCAUUAGCUAGUUGGUAGGGUAAUGGCCUACCAAGGCUACGAUGGCUAGGGGUUCUGAGAGGAUGAUCCCCCACACUGGUACUGAGAUACGGACCAGACUCCUACGGGAGGCAGCAGUAGGGAAUAUUGGGCAAUGGACGGAAGUCUGACCCAGCCAUGCCGCGUGCAGGAUGAAGGCCUUCUGGGUUGUAAACUGCUUUUAUCUAGGAAGAAAACACCCAUGCGUGGGAAACUGACGGUACUAGAUGAAUAAGCACCGGCUAACUCCGUGCCAGCAGCCGCGGUAAUACGGAGGGUGCAAGCGUUGUCCGGAUUUAUUGGGUUUAAAGGGUGCGUAGGCGGCCCGGUAAGUCAGUGGUGAAAGCCUCCAGCUCAACUGGAGAACUGCCAUUGAUACUGCCGGGCUUGAGUACAGACGAGGUUGGCGGAAUUGACUGUGUAGCGGUGAAAUGCAUAGAUACAAUCAAGAACUCCGAUUGCGUAGGCAGCUAACUAGGCUGUAACUGACGCUGAGGCACGAAAGCGUGGGGAGCGAACAGGAUUAGAUACCCUGGUAGUCCACGCCGUAAACGAUGAUUACUCGAUGUUGGCGAUAAACUGUCAGCGUCUUAGCGAAAGCGUUAAGUAAUCCACCUGGGGAGUACGCCCGCAAGGGUGAAACUCAAAGGAAUUGACGG
rnacentral:rRNA from 1 species